AUUGAACACUGGCGGCAUGCCUUACACAUGCAAGUCGAACGGCAGCACGGGAGCAAUCCUGGUGGCGAGUGGCGAACGGGUGAGUAAUAUAUCGGAACGUGCCCAGUAGUGGGGGAUAGCCCGGCGAAAGCCGGAUUAAUACCGCAUACGACCUAAGGGUGAAAGCGGGGGACCGUAAGGCCUCGCGCUAUUGGAGCGGCCGAUAUCAGAUUAGGUAGUUGGUAGGGUAAAAGCCUACCAAGCCAUCGAUCUGUAGCUGGUCUGAGAGGACGACCAGCCACACUGGGACUGAGACACGGCCCAGACUCCUACGGGAGGCAGCAGUGGGGAAUUUUGGACAAUGGGCGAAAGCCUGAUCCAGCCAUGCCGCGUGCAGGAAGAAGGCCUUCGGGUUGUAAACUGCUUUUGUCGGGGAAGAAACGCUCUGGGCUAAUACCCUGGGGUAAUGACGGUACCCGAAGAAUAAGCACCGGCUAACUACGUGCCAGCAGCCGCGGUAA
rnacentral:rRNA from 1 species